UACAGAGGUCUCAAGCGUUGUUCGGAUUCAUUGGGCGUAAAGGGUGCGUAGGUGGCGGGGCAAGUCGUGGUGUGAAAUCCCGGGGCUCAACCCCGGAACUGCACUGGAUACUGCCUUGCUAGAGCACUGGAGAGGGAACUGGAAUUUACGGUGUAGCAGUGAAAUGCGUAGAUAUCGUAAGGAAGACCAGUGGCGAAGGCGAGUUCCUGGACAGUUGCUGACACUGAGGCACGAAGGCUAGGGGAGCAAACGGG
rnacentral:rRNA from 1 species